CGGGAAACUGCCGGUAAUACCGGAUAACGUCUCCGGACCAAAGGUGUGAUUCCGCCAGGGGAGCGGCCUGCGUCCUAUUAGGUUGUUGGUGGGGUAAUGGCCUACCAAGCCAAAGAUGGGUACCGGGUGUGAGAGCAUGGCCCGGCUCACUGGGACUGAGACACUGCCCAGACACCUACGGGUGGCUGCAGUCGAGAAUCUUCCGCAAUGGGCGCAAGCCUGACGGAGCGACGCCGCGUGCGGGAUGAAGGCCUUCGGGUUGUAAACCGCUGUCAGAGAGGCGGAAAUGCCUAGGGGUUCUCCCCUAGGUUUGACCUAAUCUCAGAGGAAGCGCAGGCUAAGUUCGUG
rnacentral:rRNA from 1 species